rnacentral:rRNA from 1 species
GUUGACCUCGAAUCAGGUAGGAAUACC